rnacentral:rRNA from 1 species
AUUGAACGCUGGCGGCAGGCCUAACACAUGCAAGUCGAGCGGCAGCGGGAAAAUAGCUUGCUACUUUUGCCGGCGAGCGGCGGACGGGUGAGUAAUGCCUGGGAAAUUGCCCAGUCGAGGGGGAUAACAGUUGGAAACGACUGCUAAUACCGCAUACGCCCUACGGGGGAAAGCAGGGGACCUUCGGGCCUUGCGCGAUUGGAUAUGGCCAGGUGGGAUUAGCUAGUUGGUGAGGUAAUGGCUCACCAAGGCGACAAUCCCUAGCUGGUCUGAGAGGAUGAUCAGCCACACUGGAACUGAGACACGGUCCAGACUCCUACGGGAGGCAGCAGUGGGGAAUAUUGCACAAUGGGGGAAACCCUGAUGCAGCCAUGCCGCGUGUGUGAAGAAGGCCUUCGGGUUGUAAAGCACUUUCAGCGAGGAGGAAAGGUUGAUGCCUAAUACGUAUCAACUGUGACGUUACUCGCAGAAGAAGCACCGGCUAACUCCGUGCCAGCAGCCGCGGUAA